CCCCUCGGCGCGCCCCGGGCCGGCCUCCCCACGCGCCCCUCGCCAUGGCAGCGCCCAGGCGCCUCCUCAUCCGCGGGGGCCGCGUGGUCAACGACGACGCCUCGCAGGUGGCCGACGUGCUGGUGGAGGACGGCGUGGUGCGCGCGCUGGGGCGCGACCUGCAGCCUCCUCCGGGGGACGCCGCCGGGGGGCUGCGGGUGCUCGAGGCCUCGGGCAAGCUCGUCCUGCCCGGCGGCAUCGACACGCACACGCACAUGCAGUUCCCCUUCAUGGGCUCCAGGUCUGUGGAUGAUUUCCACCAGGGCACCAAGGCUGCUCUGGCAGGAGGCACCACCAUGAUUAUGGAUUUCGCCAUUCCUCAGAAAGGCAGCUCCCUCCUCGGGGCAUUUGAGACCUGGCGGAGCUGGGCUGACCCCAAAGUCUGCUGUGACUACAGCUUGCACGUGGCCGUGACGUGGUGGAGUGACCAGGUGAAAGAAGAAAUGACUAUCCUUGCCCGAGAUAAAGGUGUUAACUCUUUCAAGAUGUUCAUGGCUUAUAAAGAUGUGUAUAUGGUGGGGGACUCGGAGCUGUAUGCAGCCUUCUCCCAGUGCAAGAAAAUUGGAGCAAUUGCCCAGGUCCAUGCAGAAAAUGGAGACUUAAUCGCAGAGGGAGCAAAGAAGAUGCUGGCCUUGGGGAUAACCGGCCCAGAGGGCCAUGAGCUGUGCCGCCCGGAAGCAGUGGAGGCAGAGGCCACAAUGAGAGCCAUCACCAUAGCCGGUGCUGUGAAUUGCCCCCUCUACAUUGUGCACGUGAUGAGCAAAUCUGCAGCCAAGGUGAUAGCAGAUGCUAGGAGAGAUGGGAUGGUGGUCUAUGGAGAACCCAUAGCAGCAGGUCUUGGCACUGAUGGAACCCACUACUGGAAUAAAGAAUGGCAUCAUGCAGCCCACUAUGUCAUGGGCCCACCCCUGCGACCGGACCCUUCCACACCUGGCUUUCUCAUGAACCUCCUGGCUAAUGAUGAUCUGUCCACAACGGGAACUGACAACUGCACUUUCAACACCUGCCAGAAAGCUCUUGGGAAGGAUGACUUUACUAAGAUUCCCAAUGGGGUGAAUGGUGUUGAGGACCGGAUGUCAGUUAUAUGGGAAAAAGGCGUGCACAGUGGUAAGAUGGAUGAAAACCGCUUUGUGGCAGUUACCAGUACAAAUGCAGCCAAAAUCUUUAAUCUUUAUCCAAGAAAAGGAAGAAUUGCUGUAGGGUCAGAUGCUGACAUUGUGAUUUGGGAUCCAAAAGCCACAAGGACGAUCUCAGCCAAAACUCAUCAUCAGGCUGUUAACUUCAACAUCUUUGAGGGCAUGGUCUGCCAUGGGGUGCCUCUUGUGACUAUCUCCAGAGGCAAAGUGGUGUACGAAGCUGGAGUUUUCAAUGUCAUGGCAGGAGAUGGGAAGUUUAUUCCCCGCAAGCCAUUUGCUGAAUAUAUUUACAAACGAAUCAAGCAGCGGGACCAGACUUGCAUGCCUACUCCAGUGGAGCGUGCACCGUAUGAUGGAGAAGUCGUCACAUUGAAAUCCGGAGGGACAAAAGAGGACUCCACAGCCGGGAUCCAGAUGCAGGCUCAUUCUUGAUCUGGGUGCUAUGGGUAAAAUCAGAGCAAAGGAUGCCCAAGUUCCCUUCACAGCCAAACGCUGUGCUGUCAGCCCAUGGAGAGACAGAUCCUGAAAAUCAGGUCCCUUGACAGACCAUACAUAAUUAAAUCAGAGGCUAACAGUAGAAUACCCAAUCAUCACACCUAUGAAUUCCAGGUUUCCAGGAGUUAAAUGGAGUCAUCUUGGAUAAAAGGUGCUCCAUAGACACUUUCCUCCUCUGCCCUUCUCAGCAACCUCAUGUGAGCUGAGAGGAUGAGCGUCUAUUUCUCCCCCUGGAUAAGCAGGUCAAGAGGCAUAUUUAAAACAUGGAUUAAAGUUAGGGCAGUUUUGCUAUCCCAAUAACUGCCCCUCACAUGCGCAGUGAGAUGGGAACAGGCUUGCACAUUUCACAAAGAGCCGUAGAAACACUGUGUACCCCUGUCCUUUGUUUCAAGCACAGAAGAAAGGCAGCUGCUAAGCUGCACCUGAGAGGAAUCUUCUAGCUCCUUCACACUUACAGCUCCUUUCUUUUCUCACUCUUAAAAAAUACCUUCCACUGUUAUCACUCCUCUCCGCUGUGGUUAGCAAUGAAAACACUGGUAGAAUUACUGAUUCCUCUGCCAGGAAAUAAUUCAGUUGCUUUCUUACUCAGAGACAAGUUUCCACUCACCUAGUAAUAUAUAGUGGAAGUGUCACCACCUCCCAGAGGUUUUCUGGGAUUCAACUUCAUGGAGUAAUGUAAGGUAGGUAAUGGAGUCUCUCUUUUGUGGCACACCACUGCAGGGCCCAGCAUAGACACCAGCACAGUACUGGAUACAGCAGGCAAAAUGUGUCUGAGUUCUACAUCCGCAGAUUCCAAACUAUUUGAUCCUGUGGAUCAGAAAAAA